CAGGACGUUGGGGAGUAACAGGGGUUGGUGUGACGUGGAGAGACGGACCCCUCGUGCAUUGCUGGGGGGGUGGGUCGGGGAGGCAAAAUGGAGCAGCUGCUGAGAAACAGCUUGGCAGCCCCUCAAAACGGCAGUAAACAUGGAGCAGGCCUGUGACUUGAAGGCCCAGCCAGGGUCUGCAGCCCACGCUCCAAGGUGUGGCCUCCCCUGACCGCCGGAACCGCCCUGACCUUUCUCCCCACUCAGAGCCACCAAUGACCCCGUUGGCCGGGAACGUGCCCCACAGAGCAGGCCCCCGGGACCACCUGCCUGUCCUGGGUGUCCAGCUCCUCCCACAUCCUGGCCAGGCUUUCCAGUUCACGUGGACAGUCACCCUCAGCUGGCCUGACCCACGUUUCCCGGCCUCCCCCAGGCACGGCCUGGGCCGCUGGGCUCGCCUCAGGCAGCACGGGGUGGGUGACCUCAUUUAGGCCUGGAGCGGAACUAGAACAGGCUGCGCCAAUUAGCAGCUGCACGUGAGCGGGGGCCAGCCGAUCGGCCUCAGCCUCCCUGCACUUUUGUGGGUCAUGGAAAAUUCCACACCAAACGUUCUUCCAUGGGUAGGCGGAGUCCUGGGGGUGCCCUGCCCCUGAGGACAUGCCCAGUUUUGCCUCUUGCUUGCCCAUGACCCAAGGCUGAGGGCGUGCGGAGGCGGGGGCACACGGCCCCCAGAGAUCCCGAUUCGGUGGGGUUGGGGGCGAGGACCUGCAGUCCACACUCUCCCCGGCCGAUCAGGUGGUAGGAGGUCCUUACCCUGCCCAGCGAGGCACAGUGGGGUCCUGCCUUGCCCUGUCCCACCCAGGGUCAGGAGUCCGGGCACUGGACUGCUCUGUACCUGGGCUUGGGGGCCUCCGAUCACUGUCCCAGCCCCAGAGGCCAUCUGGCACCCGGCUGCCUGCACGGGGCCUGGCCUAGAGCCGGCGACAUGUCUCUGCUGCUGUGAGCCAGUGUCCCUGAGCCGCACAGGUGACUGGUGUGAGGGGAGCCCUGGCUGGGUGCUGAGGGCUGUCUUCUGGCCCAGGGCUGCUCUGGGGGCCAGCCAGGUGACCGGGGGCCAUUCCCCUGGCCUUGCCGGGCCCUAAUUCCCUUGAAAGCAUGCAAGGAGGUGCAGGAAGCCAGAUGGUCACUCAGGGUCUUUCCUGCUGACACUGGGGCCCCGAAUAUACUUUUUUAAUUUAUCCCAAACCACCCCUCUCCCCUUUAAAAAGAAGUGUGGUCUCAGUGGUCAGGGCCCAGACAGCUGGGCUUCCCUGUGGGCAAGUGCUUCGGAAGGUCAGGAAGCAGAGUGGGCCUUCUGGGAAUCGCCCCUCUGAUCUUCUGCCCUGUAGCCCCCGCAGAACCCGAGAACCAGGGGUAAGGGCCUGAGAGAGACCCCACCCCUUCGUUAGCACCGCUCCCCCUUCUGAGGAGCUGUACCUCUGCCUCUAUCCUCUGUCCUACCUCCCCCAUGGGGGUGGCCUCCUCUUGGGGCGGAGGAGCAGUAGCCCCCGCCAGCUUGGGAGUCCGGGGCUAGGGCUCAGCCCAGCUCAGCCUUAGAUAGAGCGCUCACUUCCGGGCCUCAGCUUGCCCGUCGGCAAAAUAGCUGUGCGGAGGAGAGGGCUCCGGGACGCUGGCCGCUCAGGUAGCUGUGAGGUUCCCGGCCUUUGCCUGCUCUUUUCUCCGUAAACCUUGUGACGUCCCUGGAAGCAGAAAGCGAGCAGGAAGGGCAAAGUCUCUGGGUGCACAGAGCCUGCUUUGUCUCCUGCUUAAACUGCAGGAAAAAAAAAAAAUCACCCUUUCAUUACCGUCUUCUUCCAAUAAGGAAACGGGCGGAAGCCAGCAUGACCAUGAGUCACAGUGUGAAUCCAGAUCCUCGGGGGGACAUUUAAAGGAUGCUCUGUUACCAGGCUGCCCCUUCCCCCACCCCCAUCGCCACUGGCAGCAAAGGGCCUCUGAGUCGGGGUCUGUUGGUGCUGCCGACAGCAGGUGCAGGCAUCCAGAAGAACCUGUGAGAUCCUUGGAGGACUGGUUACCACCCCCGUUUCACAGAUGUGGAAGCCCAGCUGUGCUCAGGCAGGACGCCAGGCCGCUCAGACACCAGGUGUGGCCGAGGCGGGCGGCCGUGGAGGAGCGUCUGGGGUCAGUGGUUGACAGGAGCGAGCGAGGAAAGAAGGAAGCCAGCAGGGCAGGACGGACGAGGCUCGCUCCUGGCCCGGAGCCCGAAAUCCCCAGGGGCCACUGCUGCUGCUGGACGUGGGGUUCCAGCCGGGCUCUGACGGCUCGCAGGAAAGAGUCAGCCGCAUCUACAGGUCAUUUUGGAAGGAGGAGGAGGACCAGGGGUGGCCGGUCCCCACAGCGUGCCCGCGCACCUGUCACAAAGCCGGCGGAUAAACAUCAGAUUCUGGAAUUUGAUUUUAGUGCAGUUCACUGAGCUUCCGGGCUAUAAAGAACAAGUAACUUGGACUAGUGUUCUGUGGUGCACCUAGCAUGACCAGAGCGUGUUUCGUGCCUGUGCUGAGGCAUCGCCUUGCUCUCCGGCGGCCGCAGUCCCUGCCCUUCUGACUGCUUUUCUUCCCUGUGCACCUGAGCCCAUCGAAGUUUCUGGACUGUAAUGUUCGCCCCAACCCUGGAACCAGGAGGAAACGUUUACUCGCUGACCGUCUUAGAGGAAGCACGGGCAGGUUGUCCCCGUUUGCAAAUACACUUUCUGCACUGAGAACUUUGUCACCUUCAAUUCAAGGCAGCAAGCAGGCUAGAGCAGAUCCAAUGUACCAGGCUGGGCAUAGCCUCUGUGUGGGGAAUGAGGGUUUGGGGAAUGGCGUGCCAGACGGUACCCUUUCCCGAGAGAUGCUGAACAGGUCUAAGUGUAACACCUUUCCCAUUUGCUGGAAAACCCGUCUUGCAUGGAGCAAUCCCACCGAGCAGGCCUGGUGGGGGGCAGGGGAGGCAUUUUGUAUUUUAGAAGGAAAGAGGUGGCAGUUACUUACUGGCAGUAGAACAUGAUGUAGAAAUAAAGAGCAGUUUGUAGCAGAAGUUUUCUAACUUUAUUUCCCAUGUCUAUUGGUAAAA